AAAGCUUAUACAGGCAGCAACAGCAGAAAGGCAAUUGGAGUGCCCGCUCUUUGCCUCUCUUCAGCUUUUACAUCCCCUCUCUCAUCGCUGUAUUUCUGCACAGCUCACUGUUACUUUGGCCACCAAGCGAAUAGCAGAGUUGCACCUUGAAGAGCUGGCUUUCAUCUGGGUAUCAAGCCACAAGACAUCUGUGGGAGAAUGUGCCUGCUUCUUUGCACAGUUUUCAGCAGAAAACUGACUGAAGACAGCCCUGGACUGUAAGCGAUCAAGCCUUCACCCUCCCUAUAUGUAAGACAGAUGCACAUGAGAGCAGCAACUCAGCCUCUGUGGACCUGCCAGCCAGAACUGAAGGAACCUGGCAUCCUGUGGUGGACAGUAGCGUAGCUCUAACAAGGGGCAAUGCCCUCUUGAGACUUAAUGCGCUCUCUGGACUAAGGACUAAUUUGAACCAUUUUGGGGUCAAAUGUGCUAAUGACUGGACUGUGGGCUCCCACUGGUGAUGGGUUUGAAGGAAAACCCAAACCAGAUAUACUGUAUUUUGUGAGAUACAUACAUACGAGAUACAUACAUACAUACAUGCCACUCUGCUUCAUUUUUGGAUCUGCUGGGUCUGUGGGCAUACAGGAGUUAGGCAUUGAGGAGAUCAGAUUAAGCCAAGUCUGAAGGUGCUAUGGGAGUUUCCAGACACCUCUGCUGAGAGGUACGCAUGCUGUGCUGUGAGGUCCAGAACACCUCCAACACAUUGAACUUGCUGAACAUGCACCAUGCAAAUGACCUGCAUAUGUGAAGCAAACAGCUGCUCUAACUAAGCUGAGAGGCAUCCAGAAAUCUUAGUCCAAAGUCCUCAGAUUUCACCUAAGUGUUUCAGCUGGGAAAAGAGGGCAUUUCUGUGGAAGUGCCUGUAGGGGCACUUACAGGGCAAAUAAAGAUGUUUGCAUCCAGGGCAAGGUGGCUGCAGGCUGGAGGGGUUUAGAAUAAAAUCUCAGAUUUAAGAACAUGAAUUACAUUUAUGACUGAUCCCCUAA